rnacentral:rRNA from 1 species
ACAUCGGUGACAGGUGGUGCGAUGGUUGUCGUUCAGCUCGUGUCGUGAGAUGUUGGGUUAAGUCCCGCAACGAGCGCAACCCCUAUUGUUAGUUGCCAUCAUUCAGUUGGGCACUCUAGCGAGACUGCCGGUAAUAAACCGGAGGAAGGUGGGGAUGACGUCAAAUCAUCAUGCCCCUUAUGACCUGGGCUACACACGUGCUACAAUGGUUGGUACAACGAGUUGCGAGUCGGUGACGGCGAGCUAAUCUCUUAAAGCCAAUCUCAGUUCGGAUUGUAGGCUGCAACUCGCCUACAUGAAGUCGGAAUCGCUAGUAAUCGCGGAUCAGCACGCCGCGGUGAAUACCGUUCCCGGGCCUU